GAGGGAGAGCCAAGUGACCAGGAAAAAAGACGCUUCUCAUUCAUUCACUUGCUCCUCCCACCAACACCUUCUGCCUGCCCCUGCUGAAGGCAUGAAGGACAAGAAGACCAGGUUUCUACCACUAGAAAGGCUGCUCUACAGUCCCAAGAGUCCUUCAUCCUGUCCCAUACCAGGGUAGCAUCUGUGCUCUGAGGUACAGCUUUGCACACACUCAUCCUACUGAAGCCACUUCAAGGCUUUCACAUAUAUGUCACUGAGUUAAGGUCUCGUUCUGGGAUCUGACACCUGGGAUUCUGCCCAGUGCCCUUCUUAUCUGUCCUCACUGCUCACAGAUGCUCACUAGAGGGCGCUUUGCACCUGCUGGCCUGCCUGCUACUCGGUCACCUGGCGACUUCAUCUUCCCGCCUUUUCCUGGUGGUGGAAAGAGACAAGUUUGGAAAAGUAUAAGCCUGCCUUCCUCUCCCGGCUUUGCCACCUGAGCAGCUAUUUCAUCUCACUCUGCCUGUUUCCCCUUCUGCAAAAUAAGAAUGAUAAGCCUACUUAUCUCAUAGUGGUGGGUGGGGAUUUGAAGGAACAGUCUCUGAAUAUGUGUAUUUAGCACCUAAACAGGCACGAAGAACUCAUCAUGAAUAGAAGCUGGCAUCAUGAACACUGUCAUGUCAGUAGUCCCUUUCUUCCUUUGACAAAUGAGCUUGGAGCAUUCUCAGUGUGGGGAUUCAGGAAGAGAAAAUCUUUUCUUUUUCAUUUGAGACAGGGUCUUGCUGUGUAGUCUACACUGUCCUUGAGCUUGCUGCGUAGCUCAGCCUGGCUCUGAACUAGUGACCCUGCUACUGCAGCCUCCCAAGUGCUGGGACUGCAGGUGUGUACCACCACACUGGCUGAGAAAGCCAUUUUUUGACAUCUGGGGAGCUAGGACUUUUCCGACAUAUGCCUGUUAAGAACGUCUGUGCUGUGUCACAAAGUAGAAGGGUUCCCUGGAAUGAGACAUCAGUGCCAACUGGACUCCUCAGACUUUCCUGAGGAGGUGGCAAUGAACUGGAUAGUCCACUUUCCCUUGAGCAUCUGGGACUUCACAAUGCUGCUAUGACAACCACAGUACCUAUGAUAAAAACAAUGUGCAACAGGCUUGUAAUUACAUCACCACAUUUAAAUGUUGAUGCUCUGAGAAACCCUCUAUGAAAUGGCACAGGGUUACUAUGCAAUUCCCCUUUUGCAGAAGAAUACACUAAGUCUAGAAGAAUUGACAGUUUGGGUAAUGACCACCCUGCCAUCUGAUGACAAAUGUGAGGUUCAAACCCAGUGGGCCUGGAUCCCACAUCUGUGCUCUGAAGUCUGGACACAGAUUCCCUGGUGUUUGUUGCCAGUACAAUUCCUGCUUAAGACUCAAGGACUUCUGAGGGAAGAACUCCAUGGACCCCGUGUCUUCAAUGACCCAAAGCAACCCAGCUACCAUUGGUCACCUGGACAGUUUGAUGGUCACCUUCCCGUGAAAGGGUUGGCUCAGGAAGCCAUCCAGCAGGACUGCCCACUGCACACCAAGGGCCAGCGUGAAGAGGUUGAAGGCCACACUGCUCCAGCCAUGUCUCCGCAAGUAUGAAGUGAGGAAGCCCAAGCCAAGGGCCGCCAUGAUGGCCCAGCUCUGCUAACAGCAGGAAAGCUCUUAUUUCUGAAACUCUCCAGAGUCCCAGAAAGCUCCUUGAUUAACAUGGAUCCUCAAAGUCACGUCCAUUGAAGAAUACACACACCCAGGCCUGGCACAUAGCACUUGGGUGAGUCUUGCUAUUUCCAAAUCCCCAGGACAGCACAGGGAUGUAGGAGGCCCCUGAGGAACAAUCAGGCACACCUCCCUCCCAUGAGAUCUGAUGACUUGGGGAGUGGGUGAGAAGUGGGUAUUAGGGAGGAUUUGCUCUUUGCACCUUCUCCCUGGCAUGGGGGUGGUGGUGGUGAGGUCAGGGAAUGUUCCAUCUCCUGCUUGCAUCCUCUUGGCAGUGAGGCGGGUAGGGAACAUUUUGCAGAAGGGUUCUUCUUAGGAUUGUUCAAAUGCCCUCAGGAGCCAAGCAGGAAAUGUGGGUAUGAAGGUGCAGUGUACAUUUGGGAGUGGUGAGGUUUGUGGCCAACUGGAAACUACACAACCCAGUUGAGAUAUUUAUAUUCGACCUUUUGUGAGACACUCCUGUUAAACAAAACUCAUCUGCCAUUUUGUAGCAAUGCUACACGCAGAGAGUCCAGACAUAUUGAAGAGUCCAUGGGUAGGGAGAGUCCUCCAUUUUCUUCCCAUUUUACCAAAGAGGACCAGAGAGAGCCCAUGCCUUCCCAAGCCCAUAGAGCACACCUGCAGUGCACCUCAGCUUUAAACUCCUGGUCCAGUGUCCUUCUACCAGGCCAGGCUAUCUCUAGAUUUUUUUUUUUUUUUGAGUUUUUGUUGUUGUCGUUGUUUGUUUGAGAAAGGUCUUGUUAUGUAGCCCAGGCUGGUCUCAAACUUGUGGCAAUUCUCCUGCUUCAGCUUCCUGGAUGCUGGCAUUACAAGCAUGCACUACCAGCCUACCUCAUUGUGGUAAAGGACCUUAGCAAAGUCUCUUGCUCUCUCUGGGCCUCAGUUUCCUUCUCUGGAACCCAUAAGAGUUGAGCUUGAUAUUCUCUGGACCCUUAGAGCUCUGGAAUAUUUUGAGGAAGGGGAAGGGGAGGGUGAGAAGAGAAGAGAAGAGUGAUGAGGGCAGAGGUGGCUCUGAAGGUUAAAAAGUCAGAGGGUGGUGGUGAGGGUAGGGGGGAUUUCUGUCAGCCCCGCUGCUGCCCUGAUAUUGGGCUCAUGGUCUUCAUCCAAUGCCCCACGUCAUCUCUGAGGCAGGAACCAUACCCCAGCCAUGAAGAUGAAAUUAGGGCAGCAGUUUCCAGGAGUGGUCGACUGAACCCAUGGACCCCAACCGUUCACCAUUCCUCCUGGCUCAGAUUUGCAGAAAGAAUACAGACUUCCCAGCUCCUAAAUGAGAAGAAGGCAGAGGAGAAUGGGCAAUGGAGUGCAGAAAAGAGCAAGAGACACCUCCCAAAGGAGAAUGAUUUGCAGCUAAAGAGAAACGUGGGAGGGGAAGCAGAGAAGCAGAAGAUUAUUAAGAUCAACUUGGAACAGGGGAUUUGGGGAACACAGGAGAGAAGGACCCUCACUCCGCAUGGACAAAUUCAGGCAGGCUUCACAGAAGAGGUGGUGCCCAGGUGAAGAAGAAAGAAGAAGAAAGAAGAAGAAAGAAGAAGAAGAAGGAGAAGAAGAAGGAG